GAUGAACGCUGGCGGCGUGCCUAAUACAUGCAAGUCGAGCGAACAGACGAGGAGCUUGCUCCUCUGACGUUAGCGGCGGACGGGUGAGUAACACGUGGAUAACCUACCUAUAAUACUGGGAUAACUUCGGGAAACCGGAGCUAAUACCGGAUAAUAUAUUGAACCGCAUGGUUCAAUAGUGAAAGACGGUUUUGCUGUCACUUAUAGAUGGAUCCGCGCCGCAUUAGCUAGUUGGUAAGGUAACGGCUUACCAAGGCAACGAUGCGUAGCCGACCUGAGAGGGUGAUCGGCCACACUGGAACUGAGCCACGGUCCAGACUACUACGGGAGGCAGCAGUAGGGAAUCUUCCGCAAUGGGCGAAAGCCUGACGGAGCAACGCCGCGUGAGUGAUGAAGGUCUUCGGAUCGUAAAACUCUGUUAUUAGGGAAGAACAAAUGUGUAAGUAACUAUGCACGUCUUGACGGUACCUAAUCAGAAAGCCACGGCUAACUACGUG
rnacentral:rRNA from 1 species